GUCGCAUCCUGGGGCUGGAGAAGGUCCCAAGGGUAUGGCUGUUCGCCAUUUAAAGCGGUACGCGAGCUGGGUUCAGAACGUCGUGAGACAGUUUGGCCCCUAUCUCCUGUAAUCGAAGGAAAUUUGAGGGAAUCUAUUCCUAGUACGAGAGGACCGGAAUGGACGAACCACUGGUGUAUCAGCUGUCGUGUCAUCGGCAAUGCUGAGUAGCUACGUUCGGAAUGGAUAACCGCUGAAAGCAUCUAAGCGGGAAGCCAAUCCCAAGAUUAGAUUUCCCCAUUAGCCUGCCCAGAGACUAUGGGCUUGAUAGGCCUAAGGUGUAAGCACAGUGAUGUGUUCAGCCUACAGGUACUAAUAGGCGAUUGAACUUAAUUC
rnacentral:rRNA from 1 species